UACGAAGGGGGCUAGCGUUGCUCGGAAUCACUGGGCGUAAAGGGUGCGUAGGCGGGUCUUUAAGUCAGGGGUGAAAUCCUGGAGCUCAACUCCAGAACUGCCUUUGAUACUGAAGAUCUUGAGUUCGGGAGAGGUGAGUGGAACUGCGAGUGUAGAGGUGAAAUUCGUAGAUAUUCGCAAGAACACCAGUGGCGAAGGCGGCUCACUGGUCCAUUACUGACGCUGAGGUGCGAAAGCGUGGGGAGCAAACAGGG
rnacentral:rRNA from 1 species